ensembl:lncRNA
AUGACACAUUCAGCGACGAGCUCUCUUGGAGUUAUGUUGGGUUUGUCGUCAUAUCUUCCAGAACGUUGGACCUGGGAAGGGACCUGUGGCCACAGUUUCAGGAGCCCUGGGAUCUCUGGGAACGCUUUCCAGCACAGCCCUCAGAGNGCAUAUCUUCCAGAACGUUGGACCUGGGAAGGGACCUGUGGCCACAGUCAGUUUCAGGAGCCCUGGGAUCUCUGGGAACGCUUUCCAGCACAGCCCUCAGAGGCAGGGAGAAGCAGAGAUGACAGACAUGUGUACACCGUUGGCUGCAUCGCCCUGCUUGUCUGCCAGACCCAGGGAUGGAGAGGGAGCUGUCACCAAGAGGCCCGCCGUGAGGGACCGCCGUCGUGCUCGCGCGAAGGAGCCCCCCGCACCACAGCGCCCGUGGGCCGCCCGGAGACGCCGGCCUGGGGCCUCCAGUGCGCUGUCCUCUCACUCCGCUGGGGUCGCCCCCAGGACGCACCAGCUGGCCUCGUCCACAGCUGCCUGCCACCCGUCAGUGAAGGCCGCGCCCGAAGCCCCACGGCCCUGGGGGCUGCGCCGACACUGUCCGCUGUCCUCGCUGUGGGUCCCCAACGUACACGUGCUGGUUCGGCUCGUUAGCAAGAGCAGAGGGCUGCCACCGACCUUCGGCUCCGUCCGGAAAGUGCUCUGCACUCUGGCCUUUUCCUAGCCACAGAAAUGGACCGACCUGGGGCCCGGGGGGCUCAGCGGCUGAGCCUCUGCCUUUCGUUUGGGGCAUGACCCCGGGGUCCUGGGAUCAAGUCCCAUGUCAGGCUCCCCACAGGGAGCCUGCUUCUCCCUCUGCCUGUGUCUCUACCUCUCUCUCUCUGGGUCUCAUGAAUAAGUGCAUAAAAUCUUAAAAAAGAAAAGAAAUGGAGUGAACAGCAUCUCUGGAACCUAAUAUGAGCAUAGUUGAUCUUCAAAUGAGAACAGUCACAGAAAGAAUUAUAUAAAAAACUGAUUUGGUGGAAUCCAUCAAGAAUUUUUUUUAAGAUUUUUUUAUUUAUCUAUUCAUGACAGACACAGAGAGAGAGAGAGGCAGAGACACAGGCAGAGGGAGAAGCAGGCUCCAUGCAGGGAGCCCGAUGUGGGACUCGAUCCCAGGGCUCCAGGAUCAGGCCUUGAGCUGAAGGUGGCACUAAACCGCUGAGCCGCCUGGGCUACCCCAUCAAGAAUUUUUUUUAAAGAUAUUAUUUAUUUGAGUAAGAGAGAGAACAUGAGCCGGGGGAAUGGGCAGAGAGAGGGAGAAGCAGGCUCCCCGCUGAGCAGAGAGCCCAACGCAGGCCUCAACCCCAAGGCCCCGGUUCCUGACCUGAGCCCAAGGCCGGCGCUCAACUGACUGAGCCCCCGGCGCCCUUUGAGGAUUUUGGAGCUCCUCCUACGCGCCGCAUUACAGGGGGGGUGAGAGGGGAUCCGUGUCCAGGACAACUGUGUUACCCCUGCUGCUUACAGCCAGGAGCCGGGCAGCUCCUUACGUGAAUCUGGACGGCACAGGAUCCCUCUGCAGGCCUCCCGGACCGUUUCCGUGUACCUGUAAUGGUGAGACCCUUUGGGCUUUUCCUAGGGGCCAGAAGCCAGGGGCGUCGGUGCCGCCCCAGUCGAUCCCGGCCGCCUCCCUGGAGGCAGGCUCUGUGCCAGCGCCCUAACCACCCAGCCGAGCGGCAGAUCAGGGCCAUGGGCGGCCUACCAGGGCCGGCUCACCACACCCCGACGGGCCCCCCAGGUCAGGGGGCCACAGGGAGCCCGAGGGGCCUGGCCCCCGGCGCACCCCAAGACAGCUCAUCAGCACCGGGGCCCCUGACAGUGUGCACCCCGGUGGGAGAUGUGCGUCGGCCUCUCCUGGGGUCUCCUGGUCCUGGAGCCCUGGCCCGCGCUGCACGCCGCCCUCGGCAGGCUCCCUGCCCUCCUCGUCCCCGCAGCCGGACAUUCCGCCACGCUCGCUGUUUGCUGCCUGCACGGUUCAGUUUAAGACCAUGAACCCUUCCGAGGAAAUGUCCUCUUUUCAGAUGGGGGCUGUCGUUGACCUGGGGGUCACGGUGCGGCCCAGGGGGGCCCAGGCAGUCAGGCGGCCCUGAGGUCUCCGGGGGUACUGCAAGCAUGAAGCCUGGGACGAGAAGUGGGGGCACAGGGGUCCCAGAGUCCUCAUGCUGCGCACCUACAGUGACACAAUAGGAUGAAAUCGCCACUACUAAGCGGGAGACGCCGCUGUCACCCCACGGCCUACACCCGCCACCGUGGCCCAAGGGCCGGGAGUCUGCCAUGUCCUGGCAGCUCCAGUGCUGCUGCUCAGUGAAAACCCUUAUUUAACUCAUUCCACGGUUUAAAUACCUCUGAAAGAUGGCCUCUAUAUCAUGCGUCUCCCUUUACCCUAUUACCAUUUGUCAUCAAGACAAGAUCCCAUUGAUGUCUACCCACUGCCACUCACUGCGCGUCUGCUGCAGCGCUGCUUCCUGAGUCCAGCUAGGGAAAUCUGUGUCAUUCUGAUUAUGCACUUAGAGCCCCAUGAAAGGGCAAAGAUGUGGGAAGAAAACCUGUACCCUUCACUCAAAUAAAUAAUAUCUUAAUAAUAAAUAAUAUCUGCCC